UACAUGGGGUGCAAACGUUGCUCGGAAUUAUUGGGCGUAAAGCGCGCGUAGGCGGUUACUCAAGUCGGAUGUGAAAGCCCUCGGCUUAACUGAGGAAGUGCACCCGAAACUGAGUAGCUAGAGUACUAAAGAGGGUCGCGGAAUUCCCGGUGUAGAGGUGAAAAUUCGUAGAGAUCAUGAGGAAGACCAGUGGCGAAGGCGGGUCUCUGGACAGUUCCUGACACUGAGGCACGAAGGCCAGGGGAGCAAACGGG
rnacentral:rRNA from 1 species